GGCAUUAAUGUAAUUGUGUACUGAACUAAUUUUGGGAACCUGGAGAAUUUGAAGAGGUUUUGUUGAAAAGUUGAAAGAUCUUCUCCUCAAACAUCGCAAUUCUUUGUUGUAGAUAUAAUCUCAUUAUAUCUCUCUAGAAAAAUAACAGACAUUUCAUCUAAACAUCCUUCUCUCAUAAUCGAUAGCGAAUUAGGGUGGUUCUUCCCUUAAUACUCACGACUCUGCAUUCCGAUUAGGUUUAGCAUCAAAAUCGACGGCAAAGGUAAGUUUGUUUCCAGUUAUUAAUUUCCGGUUGUGUAUGAUUCGAACUUGUUUAGUGAAUACGUAGCGGAAAAGUUAGGGUUACUUUAGUCCGAUGUGAAAAGUUAGGGUUUCUUUAAUCCGAUGUAUAAAAAUCAUUUUGGAGUUGUUUUUGUGUUGCUUAAUCGGAAGGAUGUUGUCGUUUUUGUGGUUUGAUUGUAGUGUAUUUAACUACUUCAGGAUUACAUAAGGACAAAUUGGUCUAUGUACAUUUGUGUAUAGCAGUUAUGUGUGGGUAUAAUUUCUUCGAUGUACACCUGUGUAUAGCUUUUAUGUGUGAGUAUAAAUUUCCCGACUGUACUCUGUUUUUUUGGCAUUAUUUGUUACAUCCUGAUGUUAUGCUUUUGGAUUGUGUUUGAUGAUUGACGUUGUCUGGAAGUACACAUGUGUAUAUCCUCUGGUUUUAGUAUAGAGUUCAGUUGUGUACUUGUGUACUGAUAGUUUAUUUGUGUUUGUUUUUUGGAUACCCAUGAAACGUGUAUGUUCCGUUUAUAUUACUCUUUUAGUAUACAGUAGGUACAUAAUCUUAAAAUUAUUGUACAGUUGUGUAUUAUGCUUCGAAAGAUGAUUUGUGUAAAACUUAUACGUGCCUAUUAAAAUUCAUUUGAUUACAUGAAUAUAAGAUUAACACCUUCAUUUAAGUUUUGUACUUGAGCAAUCCCAUCUUGUGUAUAUUUUGUAGGUACAAAAAAAGGGAUACAAUGAGGAAAAGGGGAAAAGUGAGAGGAUAGCCUGUAUAAAGGCUCGUAGCCUUAGAAAUACAAAAGAAGACCCGAUUGAGUGUUCUGACGACGAUGUAACGGAAAACAUAGUAAAUAAGAUGUCAACAGUAAAAAGGGACCAUAAGGAACCGUUACGUGAUGGAAAGGAUGGGUCGAAGCUGCAUGUAGAUAGUGUCCCAGUACAAAAGCUUGAUAAUGGGGAUCAGAGAAAUAAAGGGACUUUGUGUUCGAAAUCGAAUCUGGUGUUGGACUGUAUCAUUUCCUAAUGAAGAUUUACAACCAAGUCAGUGGAUUGAAUUGAUGCUUCCUUAAUUUCUUUGCGCCAAUGCAACAGUUGAUAAAUGGAAUAUUGGCUUCCCACUUGAGUCGGGCCCAAAGAAAGCAGCAUUGACACGUUUAAGGAAGAAAUACGCUGUGAAGCUGGUUACUUCAGGCGUUAACAAGCAUCGUGACCGCAUAUUGGAUGAAGCCAAACAAUACGGGAAAGCGUGCAAAUUGGGUUAAUUAGUAUGUUUUAUGGUUGUAGAGAAUAAUAUACGUUUUAUGGUCGAUUGUUUUGCUAAUUUUUUGGUCUGUCAUGGAAUGUGUGUUUGCUUGGUUAUGGUUGUAGACAAUAGCAUACGUUUUAUGGUCGAUUGUUUUGUUAA